rnacentral:lncRNA from 1 species
GUUGGGGUUCGUUGGGUGGUGGACCCCAAAGUUGGGGUACAUUGGGUGGUGGAGACCCCAAAGUUGGGGUACAUUGGGUGGUGGGCCCCAAAGCUCGGGUUAGAGACCCCAAAGUUGGUGUUUUUUGGAUGGUGGAGACCCCAAAGUUGGGGUUCAUUGGGUGGUGGAGACCCCAAAGUUGGGGUACAUUGGGUGGUGGACCCCCAAGGUUGGGGUUGGAGACCCCAAAGUUGGAGUUCUUUGAGCGGUAGUGACCCCAAAGUUGGGGUUUUUUGGGUAGUAGGCCCCAGAGUUGGGGUACAUGGGGUGGUGGACCUCGAAGUUGGGGUACGUUGGGUGGUGUUGGGGUUUGUUGGGUGGUGGGCCCCAAAGUGGGGGUUGGAGACCCCAGUGUUGAAGCUGGAGACCCCAAAGUUGGGGUACGUUGAGUGGUGGACCCCAAAGUUGGGGUACAUUGAGUGGUGGGCCCCAGACUUGAGGUUGGAGACCCCAAAGUUGGGGUUUGUUGGGUAGUGAAGACCCCAAAGUUGGAGUUCAUUGGGUGGUAGUGACCCCAAAGUUGGGGUUUGUUGGGGGGUGGGCCCCAAAGUGGGGGUUGGAGACCCCAAAGUUCGGGUACGUUGGGUGGUGGACCUCAAAGUUGGGGUUUGUUGGGUGGUGGACCCCAAAUUUGGGGUUGGAGACCCCAAAGUUGGUGUUUUUUGGAUGGUGGAGACCCCAAAGUUGGGGUACGUUGGGUGGAGACCCCAAAGUGGGGGUUCGUUGGGUGGUGGACCCCAAAGCGGGGCUUGGAG